rnacentral:rRNA from 1 species
GACGAACGCUGGCGGCGUGCUUAACACAUGCAAGUCGAACGGAAAGGCCCUGCUUUUGUGGGGUGCUCGAGUGGCGAACGGGUGAGUAACACGUGAGUAACCUGCCCUUGACUUUGGGAUAACUUCAGGAAACUGGGGCUAAUACCGGAUAUGAGCUCCUGCUGCAUGGUGGGGGUUGGAAAGUUUCGGCGGUUGGGGAUGGACUCGCGGCUUAUCAGCUUGUUGGUGGGGUAGUGGCUUACCAAGGCUUUGACGGGUAGCCGGCAUGAGAGGGUGACCGGCCACAUUGGGACUGAGAGACGGCCCAGACUCCUACGGGAGGCAGCAGUGGGGAAUAUUGCACAAUGGGCGGAAGCCUGAUGCAGCAACGCCGCGUGCGGGAUGACGGCCUUCGGGUUGUAAACCGCUGUCGCCUGUGACGAAGCGUGAGUGACGGUAAUGGGUAAAGAAGCACCGGCUAACUACGUG